rnacentral:lncRNA from 1 species
GUUUUGCCCGUUAACGUUGACAGAUUAGUUUUUUUAUGUCUUCGGCUUAUUGUCUCAUUGACUCUUUAUAACACAUCAUGUCGACUUUAGAUUAAUUCUUAGCAUAUAUAUAUAUCCUUUGUGCACAUUAAUUUUGGAUGCCAGCAUGCUAUUAGAAAAAUAAGUACAUUUCAUGAGAAUACAUGUAAACUUUCGUAAGUUUAUCUAUUCUUACGCAUUCGUUAAGUAUAAUUAUCUUAUUUUUGUAUAGUGUUAUCAUGUGUGUGUGUGUGUGCGCCAUUUUUUUUUUUUUUAUUUUUUAUUAUUUUUUGUAUAUGAUCGUAUACGGCAGCGAAUGGCGACAU